ensembl:lncRNA
AUCUGAACAGGAUCUGCAAAAUGGGAGCUGCUGAAAAAUGAUUUGCAAAGAGUUGCAAAAUACCUCAAGGUCCCUUCCUGCUGUCCUAGUGAGCAUAAUCUGCUCUGAAGUAGUUACACCUGUGGUCACUUAAUCAACGAGAUGAAGGGUAAACUUUUAAAAGAUUUUCAAGAGCUCAGUUUCUUUUGCUAGUUUCCUGGUUUGGUAGCAGCUGAUAGCAGUAGCUGCUGGGUUUGUGGGUUCUUGCUGCUGAAGCCAUGAGGUUUUUAUUAAGAUGGCUGUUGUUGUUACUACUAACUGUUGGAAGUCAUCAAGCAAACGAUUCAAGUAGUCGUUACCUCAGGGGGAAUGCUUCAUGGCGCAGUGAAUCACUUGCUACUCAUACUUUAACCUUGAAUGCAAAGGUAGCAAAGUCCGGUUUGCAGUCACGGGUCCCCCGGCAGCAGCAUCAACCUCAGGCACCCAUUCAGCGUAUAUGCCGGCUCAGCUCAAAGACUUUAUGCCUUCCUAAGAAGCCCCAGCAGUUCACCAGUCCACUCCAGCUGCCCAGACAGCAGGUUGACUCCCUAUCUUGGGGAACCCAGCCAAAGUGGAAGCCUUCCUGCCUGCCCAAGCACUUCUGCCAAUCCAAGGAGCCUCGGGUGUCCCAUCAGCCUGGUUCUCCACUCAGGCUGCCUGGUUUCCUGUCCCAGUGGCCCCAGUGGCCUGACCGUCCACUUUACCAGCUCCAGAGACCCCACUAUCCGGCCAAGUGGCCACUAUACUCACUCCAGAUGCCUCAGUACCAUGCAAAAUGGCCACACUUCCUGCCUUACUACCAGUCCAAGAGUCCACACUACAUGACUGUGUUGCCUAUCUACAGGGGGAAAGUUAUUGGUCUACCCAGCAAAGCAACUUCAGUAUCCCCAGCAGGUCAGUUACUUCUAGAAAGUUCAAGUUCAGUCCAAUUUCUGCUCAACCUUCAUAUGGGUAAGCUCUCAUUACUGGCUGAGUAACAGGAGUGAAUUUUGAGUGGGAUUUAUUUCUUUCAGGCACAGAAGGUGGUGCUAAUGUAAUAGCCACACAAAGGGACCAAUGGGCAUGGUAUGUAGGAAAACGAUUAAUGAGAUAACUGGUUUUCAAUGGCCUUUAUUCAUGAAUGCUUUCUGUUAGGCACAGCAAUGUUGAGCCUUCUGAAUCAUUGUACUGACCUUUCCAAUUAAAAUAACUUUCAUCUUGACUCUGUAAGCAUUAAUUGAAUGAUUUGGUAAUAAAGUUUGAUAAGGUGUGUGUAUGAUGCCAACAC